UGUAGUUCCAGAGAAAAUCCAAACAAAUAUAAACGACACUUCAGAAAGAGAUAACGUGUUUAUUGCUAUGAAGUUCCCUCAUAGCACUUUUUUGCUCAAUCCAUAGGCUUUGGAACAGAUAUCCUAUAUUAUUCCAAUAGAUGAGAGACCAUAUACUGUACACCUUAAGCAAAGGUAAUUUUUUAGUUUUUAGUUUUGGGUUUCAUUUUAUUUCUAUGAAGUUGUUUAUAAUAAAAAAAGGAGUAUGGAGAAAAAUAAAUGAAUUUGUUAUUUAAAUUUUUAGUUUUCUCAGGUAAACAAAUGCUCUCCUGUGACUUAAUUAAACUUUUGUUUCUAAUGGCUGAAGUAGUCUUUUGUACAUGGGAGUUAGGAACAGAAGAAAUAGGCACUCAUCUCCUGAAUACUGGUCUAUAUGAUAUUAAGUUGGCAGGACCAGCACGAGCUUUAUACUCGGGGAAGGAUGUCACAAAAAGAAGUAAAUCUGUGACUGAUAAUAUCGAUGAGGGUUUUACCAGAGAGGUGGGACCACCAUGAGGGAUGGGGGGUAGGGAUUUAAUAUAGAAAUCAGAUCUUACACUGUUGGAGAGCUGGUGAAUAUUUCAUGAGGAAUAGUACCUAGCUGUGUGCCACUUUUUAGAGAAUUAAGAAAAUCAUUGAAGUAGUUUUCUGUAGGAUUUAAUUCUCUGAUGGAAACCCAGCUGAGAAAGGCUGGCUUGGAAGUCAUUUGUGCCAUUCAAGAGCUUCAGUUAAAUUUGGGGAAUAGAACUAGACUGCAUGCUAUUUGGGCGAGGUGGAUU